rnacentral:rRNA from 1 species
GAUGAACGCUGGCGGCGUGCCUAAUACAUGCAAGUCGAGCGAACAGAUGAGGAGCUUGCUCCUCUGACGUUAGCGGCGGACGGGUGAGUAACACGUGGAUAACCUACCUAUAAGACUGGGAUAACUUCGGGAAACCGGAGCUAAUACCGGAUAAUAUAUUGAACCGCAUGGUUCAAUAGUGAAAGACGGUUUUGCUGUCACUUAUAGAUGGAUCCGCGCCGCAUUAGCUAGUUGGUAAGGUAACGGCUUACCAAGGCAACGAUGCGUAGCCGACCUGAGAGAGUGAUCGGCCGCACUGGAGCUGAGACACGGUCCAGACGACUACGGGAGGCAGCAGUAGGGAAUCUUCCGCAGUGGUCGAAAGCCUGACGGAGCAACGCCACGUGAGAGAUGAAGGUCUUCGGAUCGUAAAACUCUGUUAUUAGGGAAGAACAAAUGUGUAAGGAACUAUGCACGUCUUGACGGUACCGAAUCAGAAAGCCACGGCUAACUACGUG